CGUGCUGGCACAUGAACUCAGAUGGACCUCAUAUCUUUACCUCCUUAACUCAAAGUAACGUUACGAGUUGUAUGAACACUGCUUGCUUCAUGAUAAGACAGCAGCCGUUCAACUAGGCCUUGUAAGGUUAGUGAAGAGUGUGUUUAUUAAAGGACAAGCACUGUGGAAUUCCCAGUACCAGUGUUGUCGUGGGCUGAGUGGUCCUCUCAACCACUGAAUACAACCCACGUUACAGUAUUCUUUAUAUUAUUCUCUCAACUGACAUUUUUAAAUAAAACUUUCCUUAUACCAGCCCCUCGUGGCUUACUGCCAGCCACAGACUUGCUGUUAAUUCAAGUGGGAGGGAAAAAGUAGAUGAUGAGGAAAAGUUGGCACUAUACUGUAUAAAACUAGGUGUUGGUGUGAGGGAGAGCAACAUGUUGCGUACUUCUGAGGAGCCUCUAAUGUUUUUUUUAGCUGCUGUACAUGCAAUCCUUUCCUGGCUGCAGUGAAAUCCUCACAUAUAGUUCUAAGUUUAAAGUUUGUGAAGUUUCAGGUCUAGCUCAACAUUGGCAGCUGCCUCGGUUUUUGAUUAAUGCUGGACAGAAUGCCAGGACAUAUCGGCAUAUGGUUGUCUUUUGGCAUACUGUGGCCACUUCUGCUGGCUGUCGGCGCAAUUGAAUGUUCAGAAAAAGAAACACUGAUCAACCCGCUUCCCAGGAGGGUGAUACAACCAAGUGACUGUUUAAUGGAGUGUACUGGGAUGACAUACAUCAAAAAAUUGCAGCUUCAGGACAAUCAUAACAUUCGGCUGUCAGACUCAACUGAAGGAGACCUCGGGGAAUACUGUUGGCCUACUGACCUCAAGUGCAACAUUGGUGAGAGCUUUUUGCAUGCCUACGCGGUAUUGCCUGUGGAUAUAUCUGCUGUGGGACAUGAGCAACUGGAGGUCAAAGCCACUGCUCCAGCUGCCACUACACUACAUGCACAUAACAGCCCUACAACAAUCGCAGAGAGCUGCGGCCUUCGUUACGACGUCACACGGCAUUUCAGCACACAGAACGCUGGGACAUCGCUCUGCAUCCAGGUUGCUACCCAGGAAGAUGCUCUGGGGGACACAGUUCUUAAAUGUCCUCCAUAUCUGGUCACCUUCUGGCAAAGAAGUGCAAAUCGGCGCCAACAACAAAGUGCUGGAUAAAAUAUCAGAGGUAGAGGUAUCCAGAUCUUUUAAGUAAAACCACCAAUUAGGAUAUUAAAUAAUAUGAAAGGUCCUGCAUUUUUAGAAAUUUUAAUGGAAGUAUUAGAUGCAAAUGUACAGAAUGAAUAAAAGAAAAGAACAGCCUCUUUGUCACAAAGGAGAUGGCGCUCACUCUAUAACUUAUGGUGAUUUUCUUUAAAAAUUGGCAUUGUUUGCUUUUCAUUAAUUUAAAACUGCCACAUACCCACAGGGGUUAGUAUAAAAUUGUCACACAGCUUGUUUUUUUUUAUCUAGUUAAUUUGAUCAUACCUGGAAGCUGGAAGUGUUACAUUCUUAUUGCUUAUAUAAACGGUUUAGACAUUUUACUUUAUUUGUUCUUUUCAUACUUUGUAUGUUAAAAGCUUACUUUCUAAAGUAUCUAGUAAGUAAACCUUUCAGACUAAUAGAAUAGAAUAAAAUGUUCACUAUUUCCUUGUGAGCUGUUUUGAAGUAACAAGUGUGUUUGGAAGUGGUUGUAAUUUAUACUUAAGUCGCCAACAGCAAUAAGGAAAAUCUAUUGUGGGUCUCCAAAGCCCAAUAAUAAAAUAGGGUAUCAGAGAUGCUAGUAAUGGAUGGUUAUGCUUGGAUUGUAAUUCAGGGGUAAGGCUGGGGCAGAAAAGAUUAAUAACUGUAAUUUCUCUAUAUUCUUAAGCAAGUUUAGAUUUAUUUUCUAGUGCUCUCGAUGUGCAUUUAAAUCCCUUACCUGAGUGAACGGAAAAUGAGAGUGAGGUCCACAAGUUCACUAAACUUGGAAAGCCAUGUGAGUGAUAGUAACGAUAUUAUUUACUAUUCUGACGAAAUGCAUUUAAUGCACUUGCUAUGAUCAGUGAAGCUGUAUACUACAUUCUUUCAGAAAUAUGUUUUAAGAUGAGGAUCAAGCAUAUGAGCAUGAUGACGUGGGUGUUAUGAACAUUAUAUGGCACAUGUACUUGUAUUAUCCACAAUAAUAUUCUUAUGAUAUAUAUUUGGUUUAUGUGACUUCAGUUGUAAGGGUGUUUCGUGGCACUGAAUGAUUUUAGAUGUGUCAACUCGGAAACUUUCAGGGCAAACUUGUUGCUCUGCUGACUUAUUCAAAGGCAAAAAGCUAUGUAAAUGUUCUCUCUAAAUGAAGAAUGCAAUGAUGUUAAUGUUGUGUUGAUAGUUUAAUAUUAAACCAUUUCAUUUUCCUUUCACUCACACAUCUUUAUUGAGUUUAACUAUUUAAGAAGGCUAUAAUAAGAUGUGAUUGUAAACAUAUUUUUGCUCUUUUUCCCACUUCCAUUUUGUCUGUUUGUUUAUUUUUAUUCAGUUGUUAUGCAUAAAAUCCUCACAAUGUAUCUUUUUGCAUUUCAUUACUACACAAGGACAUAAUAUACUGCCACCUCCUGGGUAUGAUGUAAACUAAUGGAAGUACUGGAAUUAAGUCCCGUUUACUGUCCAACCACUGGAUGGCAGACUUCUUACAGGGUAGUACUGCACCAGACUAACAAUCAGUAUAAAUAAAUAAUUUACUGCCAUAAAAAAAAAAACUACAACUAGGGUGUACAAGUAGGGUGAAACACCAGUUUCUCUGUGAAAUGUUGAGCAUUAUUCCUGUCUUUUAACAAACACCAUAUUUCACAUAUUCCACCAAAAUGUGGACAAGAAAAUCCACAAAGGUGCUUCAAGUAGGCUCAUUUUCCAUUGCAGUUUUUGUGAUCUGUCUCAAAAUAAUAAUCAGUUGUUUAAAAUAAUUAGUGGAAUUAUUCCUAAUGAUCACCCUAGUAUAAAAGAAAAUCCAUUUGAAUUGACUAAUCAAUCACAGCGUUAGUUUGGUCAUGACAAAAAGUCAUCCUAAGCAAACCUUGGCAAAUCUCAGUGCCAGAAUACAUCAGCUGAUGGCUGAGCUGAUACCCUUUAAUACACACAAUUGGAAAAUUUCAUGUAGUCUGUCUACAUUUACUGAACAUCUGCAAGUGGUUUUGCAAACCACCCCAUCCCAGCUCUCUUCUAUGCAUGACGUAAUCAGUGCCAUAUCUGUUGUUAUUGAUGUACUGUUUUGUAUGGAUUGAAGGGGUUUGGGUGGGCAGUGGGGGAAAACCUUUUUCUGUUACAGUGUAGACACACUAUUAAGCCUAAGCUCUAUUAAGGCUUAAAUGAAGGAGGGUUUUUGUUGGUGUGCUCUGCUGGCAGGCGACCAGGGGAAGCAUAACAUAACCUUCCUAUUGGGCCUCCAGACAGACCUUUCUCUGCCUGUAUUAAAAUAGAAAUGUCAUGAAAGGUGUGACAAAGAUGAAGAGUGAGUCAGGACAUUCUGCCUGUCUUAAUCACCACCAACAAAUAAUCACAAGAAAGUGUGAAAAGAAAAGAAAAAAGGUAUCUUGUGUGUUUAAAAGCCAGUCAUACUUGCCUUUAAGCCGUCUGCUUUCUUACUGAGUCAUUUUUUAAGUUCAAUGGAUACAUAUUGCCAAGAACAAUUUAUUCACGUGUCACCUCAAAUGAUCUUAUUUAUGAAUGAAUAUUAGUCAAAUAUAUCAAACAGGACCACACAGGACAAAGGGGAUGAUUUUCCUAAAUCAGAUUUUUUAAAUCUCUCUUUUUCCAUUACGUAUAAUCAUGAGAUCAAAUGAUUAUUUGCUGUAGGGUUUUCAAUACUAAAAUUAUGGCAAGAGCUCACUGUAAAUAAUAAAUAUUAUAAAAUAAAGCAUUGUUUUUGUUUAUGUACAUUUUACAUGUUUUGUUAUAUCAUAUUAUAAUAAAAUCACUUACUUAUUCUCUA